GACGAACGCUGGCGGCGUGCCUAAUACAUGCAAGUAGAACGCUGAAGCUUGGUGCUUGCACCGAGCGGAUGAGUUGCGAACGGGUGAGUAACGCGUAGGUAACCUGCCUGGUAGCGGGGGAUAACUAUUGGAAACGAUAGCUAAUACCGCAUAAUAGCAGUUGUUGCAUGACAACUGUUUAAAAGGUGCAAUUGCAUCACUACCAGAUGGACCUGCGUUGUAUUAGCUAGUUGGUGGGGUAACGGCUCACCAAGGCGACGAUACAUAGCCGACCCGAGAGGGUGAUCGGCCACACUGGGACUGAGACACGGCCCAGACUCCUACGGGAGGCAGCAGUAGGGAAUCUUCGGCAAUGGACGGAAGUCUGACCGAGCAACGCCGCGUGAGUGAAGAAGGUUUUCGGAUCGUAAAGCUCUGUUGUAAGAGAAGAAACGAGUGUGAGAAGUGGAAAAGUUUCAAC
rnacentral:rRNA from 1 species